rnacentral:misc_RNA from 1 species
AUUUUGGUGGUUUUGGGUAUGCUGAUAUUAAGCAUCAGCAAGGACAGAACCAAAGUGUUGUUAACCAAUAUUGACAAGGGGAAGGUUUCCUUUCACAUGUAUAUAUAUGAUUUGGAUCUUAAAAUAGGCCCUGAUGAUGAUAACAAUUAUCACUCUCAAGUAACUGAAGCUUAGUAGAUUUUAGGCAAAGCUUUUGUUCUGUUCAUUUGGAC